AGUGAACGCUGGCGGUAGGCCUAACACAUGCAAGUCGAACGGCAGCACAGUAAGAGCUUGCUCUUACGGGUGGCGAGUGGCGGACGGGUGAGGAAUACAUCGGAAUCUACUUUUUCGUGGGGGAUAACGUAGGGAAACUUACGCUAAUACCGCAUACGACCUACGGGUGAAAGCAGGGGAUCUUCGGACCUUGCGCGAUUGAAUGAGCCGAUGUCGGAUUAGCUAGUUGGCGGGGUAAAGGCCCACCAAGGCGACGAUCCGUAGCUGGUCUGAGAGGAUGAUCAGCCACACUGGAACUGAGACACGGUCCAGACUCCUACGGGAGGCCGCAGUGGGGAAUAUUGGACAAUGGGCGCAAGCCUGAUCCAACCCUACCGCGUGGGUGUAGAAGGCCUUCGGGUUGUAAAGCCCUUUUGUUGGGAAAGAAAAGCAGCAGGUUAAUACCCCGCUGUUCUGACGGUACCCAAAGAAUAAGCACCGGCUAACUUCGUG
rnacentral:rRNA from 1 species